CUGGGUUCCUAUUUCUGCCCCACGCUUCCGCCCGUUCUUCUUGACUGCAAUUAAAAAAUGCGCGCUAAUAAAUACAAUAUGUAUAGUCACCCCAGGUUGUAUGGAAUGUUAAUAUUGAACAAACAUUUUAAGCCAUUAUCUACGGUGUGUUAUUUGUCUUGUUUACCAUAGGAAUAUAUUAGACUAGCAGCGGGUCAGGUGUAUGUCAGCAUAACUUAGCUACUUGAGAUGCC